rnacentral:tRNA from 21 species
GGAAAGGUGGCAGAGUGGUUGAAUGCUUCGGUUUUGAAAACCGGCGUACUUUCACGAGUACCGAGGGUUCGAAUCCCUCCCUUUCCG